rnacentral:rRNA from 1 species
CGGUCCUAAGGUAGCGAAAUUCCUUGUCGGGUAAGUUCCGACCUGCACGAAUGGAGUAACGAUUUCCCUACUGUCUCCACCAUGAACUCGGUGAAAUUGCAUUACGAGUAAAGAUGCUCGUUACGCGCGGCAGGACGAAAAGACCCCGGGACCUUCACUAUAGCUUGGUAUUGGUGUUCGGUUCGGUUUGUGUAGGAUAGGUGGGAGACUGUGAAGCAUGCACGCCAGUGUGUGUGGAGUCGUUGUUGAAAUACCACUCUGAUCGUAUUGGACAUCUCAACCUCGGCCCGUGAUCCGGGUUAGGGACAGUGCCUGGUGGGUAGUUUAACUGGGGCGGUUGCCUCCCAAAAUGUAACGGAGGCGCGCAAAGGUUCUCUCAGCCUGAUCGGAAACCAGGCGUAGAGUGCAAAGGCAUAAGAGAGCUUGACUGCGAGACUGACAGGUCAAGCAGGUGGGAAACCAGGCCUUAGUGAUCCGGUGGUUCCAAAUGGAAGGGCCAUCGCUCAACGGAUAAAAGGUACUCCGGGGAUAACAGGCUUAUCGCGCCCAAGAGUUCAUAUCGACGGCGCGGUUUGGCACCUCGAUGUCGGCUCAUCGCAUCCUGGGGCUGGAGAAGGUCCCAAGGGUAUGGCUGUUCGCCAUUUAAAGCGGUACGCGAGC